UAUUUUAAACACUUCUGCAUGACCUCCCAUUACAAGACAUUUCAAAACGCGCAGCUGAGACAGGAAAAGGUGUUGCUGCCAAGCAGCUUACACCCAGAGCACAACACCUUGGCCAUGCUUCUUGACAUAAGAAUGGCGGAGGUAUAUGGAAGGUUAAAUGAAAGAUCUGUUUGGGGGCAACUUAUUCCUCUCCUGUCUGUCAAGAUGGUCAAGAGAAUGGAAAGUCAUUAAUCACCUAUCAUGAUAGAAGAUUAAAGUUCCCCAAGAUUUAAAAAAGAAUCAUCAAUACAUGGCAAUUAACUGAAAGAAAUAAGACAAUGUCAGGCUCUAUUCUGAAGACCAAAGAAAAAGCGAUGGGUAACAGAUCUUGGCUGAUAAGAAGAAAAUUGCAGCAAGACAUUCCCUGUGCGAAUAGAAUGAGGAAGGGAACAUUGAAACAGAGUGAAAGAAGAGUCUUCUGCAUAUCAACCCAGGCUCUUUGUUGUUUCCAAGCUCACAACAUAGAAGUGAUUUUAUGAUAAAAUUCCCUGUGAACACUUGAACUAUUUAUUUUAUAUGAAACCCAUCCUCCAAGCAAUUCAGAUCAAAUCAGCAUAUAUGAUUCUCUGUAGCAGUAAACAGAAGAGGGAUGAAUCAAAAACACAUACAGACAAGGUUUCCAUGUCACUUGGAAGUCUUUCUGGCUUUGAGGUUCAGAUGAAAACACUUACAGUGUUUCCAUAACCAGAAAAAACAGAGUUCUCAAAGAAGCAGUAUGAGUGUCUUCAGUUAAAUUAACUUGAAGGAUCUGCCAAAGGCCUUCACAUUACAUGGACAAUAUGACUGCCUAGGGGACAAGGGAAAGGGGCUUAUGUACAUCCCCGCAUCCCCAUCACCUUUUCAGCCCUACCUGCCUUCAGAUAUUGUCUCACUUUAGACUGGCAAACCAUCACAAACCAAGUUGCAGUGUCAAUAUUGCAAUAUUGAGCUACUGAGCAACAGAGAAAACCUACAAACAAGAUGCCCCCACACUCACUUGACAGGGUGCAGGGGACUGUCGGAGUUUAAUAUUUUAUAUAAAUAAAAUAUUAUAUCAUUUAAAGUAUAAGAAAUGU
rnacentral:lncRNA from 1 species